rnacentral:misc_RNA from 1 species
UGGCUCUCGCAACGAUGAAGAACGCAGCGAAAUGCGAUACGUAGUGUGAAUUGCAGAAUUCCGUGAAUCAUCGAAUCUUUGAACGCAACUUGCACUCUGUUUCGGCAGAGUAUGCCUGUUUGAGAAUCUUUUAACUCUGAGACGUGCUGUCUUGAGAUGGGCGUGGUCUGCGGACCUUGCCUUAAGAGCAUAGAUGUGCGGCGGCAGAGUUCAGCCAGGCAGGAGUUAUGAAGGGCAACCACAUGCUUCCCACUGGCGCCGAGCUGCGGGCGACCAUCGCAAACACAAACCUAGGUCUCAAAUCAGGUAGGAGGACCCGCUGA